CUCGGCCAGUCCCAGACACAUCCGGGUCUUCAGCAGCCCAUUAAGUGUCGGGGGUCAAAAAAUCGCUUCAGGCUGCAACUUUACCUUAGAGACGUUUUGGUCCCCAGGCAGCCGCCGUACCCCAGUAUCCCCAAACCGGGAUUCCCCUUUGGCCUGCUCUCAUUCUUCCAAUUCUAAAGAUGGAGACUGGUGAACGGCGGUGGGGUCUGCGUUGGGUGGUGUUUCAUCGCGACAGAAUCCAGGAAUUUCACGAUAGCAGUAGCUUGAGGCGCUCGGGCCUUGCAGUCUGUUUGGGGCGUGGCCUGUCUCCGUCUGCCAAAGGCCUUGAGCUUCCUGGUCUUCAUUGUACCCCAGCACGGUUCUGUCGUGACUGAACCACGACUGGGGGAAAAAAGACAGCUAGCGAAAUUGCUGGGAAAUUACGCCGCGCAGAGCGCUCGCAGCUCCUUCUGUCCGGAUCUCUGGUCUGAUCAGGUUCACAGUGAAGGGAAACAGCCUCCCACUCCACCAACUACACCUAAUCAACUCAAGGCCCAACUCCUGCUAGCCUCCCUACUUCCCCAAAGCAGUUAGGCGCGACUGAACCCAGCGUUUUUCGAACACGUACUAUAAGUAUUGUUCUUGAGCAUCUGAGCAUCUUGAGCAUCUGAGGGACCAAGUAUCAGAGUCAGUGUGUUAAAGGAAUGGUAGUAGCUAACGUUUGGGGCAGAGACUGAGGCACUGUGCUGUAUGUGCAUUCGUAUUUUUUUAAGAGCUUUCCAUGGAUUAUUUAUUCCUUGUAACUCAGUGAGGUAGAUACUGUUAGCCCCAUUAUACAGAUUAAGAAAAUGAGGUAUAAAUCAAAUGAUUUGCCCAGAGUUACAUAUGAAAAGUGGCAGAGCUGAAAUUUGAAGCCGGUAGAUCCAGAAAGGGGUUCAGAGAGAUUCAGAGAGGCUAAGGAGCUUACAAAGUUCAGACAGCUAAUUAAUGACUACUGGCUCAAACUCAGAAAUAACUGGCUCCAGAAGCACUAGAAUGUGUUUUUCAAGUCAUUUAAAAGUCACGCUGUGCAAUGGAAAUGAAACUAAUGGGCACAAAAAGGUGGACCCUGAACAGACACACACAAAUGUACAAAAGCAGCUCCUUUAGGACACUGCUUCAGACAAGAUGGGAAAGCAUCCUCUGGCCUGAAGGUCCCAGAAUUCAGAAGUAGUACUGCUGUCUUCAUCCACUGAUUUCCACCCCCAGGAAUUUGCACUAGAGGCUCAUCCAAGUGUAGUUUAUCCGUUGUCAGCACACUGAAUGUCAGCCACUAGACCAGCCCCAGCUCUCCGUGCCUGUCCCCUGCCGUGUCGCCAGUCCCUACCCACCUCUCUGCGAGCUGCCUGCCUCUUGGGCUGCCGUCUCC